rnacentral:rRNA from 1 species
GACGAACGCUGGCGGCAUGCCUAACACAUGCAAGUCGAACGGAGAAUCACUUCGGUGAUUCUUAGUGGCGAACGGGUGAGUAACGCGUAGGCAACCUGCCCUUUGGAUGGGGACAACAUUCCGAAAGGAGUGCUAAUACCGAAUGUGACAGGAUUCUCGCAUGAGAGUCUUGUGAAAGAUGGCCUCUACAUGUAAGCUAUCGCCAAAGGAUGGGCCUGCGUCUGAUUAGCUAGAUGGCGGGUAACGGCCACCAUGGCGACGAUCAGUAGCCGGACUGAGAGGUUGAACGGCCACAUUGGGACUGAGAUACGG